ACUUUACAAUGCUGGCAACAGCGAUAAGGGAACCUCGAGUGCCAGGUUACAAAUCUGGCUGUCGAGAUGCCUAAAAAGCAUUUCAUAGCAAGGGCCGGGCAAGACCGGUGCCAGCCGCCGCGGUAACACCGGCGGCUCGAGUGGUAACCGUUAUUAUUGGGUCUAAAGGGUCUGUAGCCGGCCGGAUAAGUCUCUUGAGAAAUCUGGCAGCUUAACUGUCAGGCUUUCAGGAGAUACUGUCUGGCUCGAGGCCGGGAGAGGUGAGAGGUACUUCAGGGGUAGGGGUGAAAUCUUGUAAUCCUUGAAGGACCACCAGUGGCGAAGGCGUCUCACCAGAACGGACCUGACGGCAAGGGACGAAAGCUAGGGGCACGAACCGGAUUAGAUACCCGGGUAGUCCUAGCCGUAAACGAUACUCGCUAGGUGUCGGCCACGGUGCGACCGUUGUCGGUGCCGUAGGGAAGCCGUGAAGCGAGCCACCUGGGAAGUACGGCCGCAAGGCUGAAACUUAA
rnacentral:rRNA from 1 species